UUUUUUCUUUUUUUUUUUGAACACCAAUUCAAUCGUCUUUUAUUUCAUCAAACGGAGACCUCAGCCCUCACAGUCACUUGUUUCAGAAAUAAAAGUAUCCCAGAAAUACACAAUCAGAAAUUGAUUACAGAAGUUCUUGCACCAGAUCUGGGAGGGGAUGAGAUGAACUGGAAGAUGUGGACGUUGCUCAAGCUCGGCAGAUUUCAUGGCGAUGGGAAUGCAGAUGAAAACGAUGCCAGCCAUGGCGAAUGCGGUAUUGCGCUUCCAGUGCUUGGUCAGACGUGGGGGAUGCCGAGUUACCUUCAAAACCACCAGGUCGAUAUCGUAAUCGCAUGUUGCACACUUCAUAACUUCAUUCGGAGAUACAGCAACGAUGACAUCAUAUUCAACGAACCGGAUGAAGACACUCCUCCUGACAUGGAUUCCUUUUACCAUAGGGGACAUCCAACCACUUCUGAGUUAGAAGCUCAACGCACCCUCCGAG